rnacentral:rRNA from 1 species
AUGCUUGUCUCAAAGAUUAAGCCAUGCAUGUGCAAGCGAAGCUUGAAAAAGUGGAACCGCGAAUGGCUCAUUAAAUCAGUUACUAUCUAUUAGUUGAUUUGCCUGCUAAAUGAAUAACUGCGGUAACCCUGCAGCUAAUGCAUGCUGAUUGUCCGGCACUGUCGGAGACUUUUACAAGACUACACCGGGUGAUUUGCUAAGUACUGACACAUACCGUGAUGAGUCCUAGUAACUGAAAGAUCCCAGAUAGCUUCGGCUUGGGGACGGAACUUCCGAAUUUCUGACCUAUCAACCUAUGAUGGUAGUGUAACGGACUACCAUGGUUGUGACGGGUAACGGGGAAUCAGGGUUCGAUUCCGGAGAGGGAGCCUUAGAAACGGCUACCACAUCCAAGGAAGGCAGCAGGCACGCAAAUUACCCACUCUCCGCACGAGGAGGUAGUGACUAGAAAUAAUGAUAUGAACCUUUAUGGUUUGUAAUCAGAAUGGAAUGGACUUAAAAGCUCCAUUGAUGAACGAGUAGAGGGCAAGUCUGGUGCCAGCAGCCGCGGUAAUACCAGCCUCUACAAGCGUAUGCAAUAGUUGCUGCGUUUAAAAAGCUCAUAGUUGGAUCUGUUUGAGUAGAACGGUAACAUGGUCUUCAGUUAAAUCUGUUGACUCGUUCCGCUCAUCCUUCGCAUCGAAGAAAUAGUUUGCACUUAAAUGUGACGAACUGUGGAAACGGUGUUUUCACCCUGAGAAAAUUAGAGUGUUCAAAGCAUCCUUUGGGAUCGAAUAAUAAAGCAUGGAAUAAUGGAGAAUGACCCGCUACUCGAUUGAUGCCGGUUGGCUGAGUGCGGUAAUGAUUGAAAGGAACAGACGGGGGCAUUUGUAUUGCUACGUUAGAGGUGAAAUUCUUGGAUCGUGGCAAGACAAACUACUGCGAAAGCAUUUGCCAAGAAUGUUUUCAUUAAUCAAGAACGAAAGUCAGAGUAUUGAAGAGGAUUAGAUACCCUCGUAAUUCUGACCAUAAACUAUACCAACCUACAAUUUGUCAAAGUCUACAAUGACUUGGCAAGAGAUUAACCGGGAAACCAAAGUUUAUUGGUUCCGGGGGAAGUAUGGUUGCAAAAUCGAAACUUAAAGGAAUUGACGGAAGGGCACCACCAGGAGUGGAGCCUGCGGCUUAAUUUGACUCAACACGGGAAAACUCACCCGGUCCAGACAUCUUAAGGAUUGACAGAUUGAAUAUCUUUCAUGAUUAUAUGGGCGGUGGUGCAUGGCCGUUCUUAGUUAGUGGAGUGAUCUGUCUGGUUAAUUCCGAUAACGAACGAGAUCUUCUCCAUCUAAAUAAUGAAAUUCACUUUAUGUGGAUUCAAACACUUCUUAGAGGAACUAUGCGGAAUUAAAUACCGCAGAUGAAGUGAGGCUAUAACAGGUCUGUGAUGCCCUUAGAUGUUCUGGACUGCACGCGCGCUACACUGUGUACUUCAAUAUGAGUACUCUGACCUUUGUCCGAAAUGGACUGGGCAAUCCUUGAAAAGUACAGCGCUUCAAGGGGAUCGUCUGUUGUAACUUGCAGACGUGAACCAGGAAUUCCUAGUACUUAUGAGUCAACAACUCAUAGGGAUUACGUCCCUGCCCUUUGUACACACCGCCCGUCGCUACUACUGAUUGGAUAGUUAAGCAAGAAUUGCAAAUUCCUUUGUCGGAGACUUCGGUUUCUGACUGCGGAUGAAGCGGAUCGAGCUUAAUUGUCUAGAGGAAGUAAAAGUCGUAACAAGG